UUCAUAGUGCAGCGAGCAGCGCGAAAGCGGUCUCAGUGGAAGCGUCGGCUGAUAUGGCGCUGUUGCCAGUGCUGGUGGUGAGGCGAGAAAUGACCCGUUUAAUGGCAACAUUACCACUCACACAGCUCAGUCAGGGGUGCCUUCUUGCAACAGACGGAAAAUGGCUUCUGUUCUUCUCUCUGUGCGCCGCUACCGAGUCUGCGAGCACGUGAGCAGUAUGGGAGCACGUGCCGAGCGGCGGGAGCGGUACGCGCUCCAUGCGGGUAGGAGGAGCAUCGUAGUUACAGCUGGUAAAAGAAAUGGAGCUGCUGCGGAAGGGAAGGUGACUAUCUUGUCACGGGCGUGUGGUUUUGGAACGGCCUGUGGGAUGGGACACAGGAAGGAGGACUGAGAACUGGAAGUAGUGCUGUGAUGUAGGAAUAAAGAAAUGAGCUCUGGGCCUAUGAGCCUCCGACUCUUCCUGGGGUCCCUGUGAGGUCAUCCCAUGUGCAGCCACGGAUUUUGUGUGGAAGGGGAAGACUGAUGGAACUGGCUGUGUGAUGUGAGCAGAGAGGAAGGACUGAGAAUUGGCUCUUGCAAUGCAGGUGAGCGGCACCUCUACUCAACAAAGGAUCUCCAAGCUGUGUCCAGCAGGAGCAUUUAACAAGAUCUUUUAAUGUUCAAUAAAGUUGGAUCAGUGAAGCUACUGUGCUUGGUUCUUUUAUCUCACUGCACUGUCAAGUGAAGAAGAGUCAAGUAAAUACU